rnacentral:rRNA from 1 species
GACGAACGCUGGCGGCGUGCCUAAUACAUGCAAGUCGAGCGGACGUUUUAUUGGUGCUUGCACCGAUUUAACGUUAGCGGCGGACGGGUGAGUAACACGUGGGCAACCUACCCUAUAGUUUGGGAUAACUCCGGGAAACCGGGGCGUAAUACCGAAUAAUACUUUUAGUCUCAUGUUAGAAAGUUAGAAGAUGGUUUACGUCUAUCGCUACAGGAUGGGCCCGCGGCGCAUUAGCUAGUUGGUGAGGUAACGGCUCACCAAGGCAACGAUGCGUAGCCGACCUGAGAGGGUGAUCGGCCACACUGGGACUGAGACACGGCCCAGACUCCUACGGGAGGCUG